UUUAAGCGCAACUAUGAGUUUUCUUGUCCAACUUUAAUCAUCCGUCUUAUUUAAAAUCUUUUUUGAUUUGUAUUUUUAUUGUUAUUAGAUGAUAAAAUAUGAAUAAUACUUUAUAUGUGACUUAUAUUUUUAAUUUUUCUUUAAAAAAUUAAAUAAGACGGACGAUUAAAAUUGGACACGGAAACUCAUGGCUGCGCUUAAA
rfam:Oryza meridionalis cultivar OR44 (W2112) chromosome 12, whole genome shotgun sequence.